UAUUGGACAUAUUUUCUUGCAUUCGUACUUCUGUCCAAGUGGUUGGUUUGGUCCCAAUUAGAGGUAAAUUUUUUGAGGCUAUCGUGACAAGAACAGAGAUUAUAUAGCGAUUAUUGAUUUCACGUCUCAUCCAAUAUAGGCCUAAUAUUCUCUCAUAAAUAAGGCAUAUUUACCCAGAAGAUUCAGGCUACUCCGAUGUGAAGAUAUUUUGUGUUGCAGACCCUCCACGCACUGGUCCGCCUGCUUCUCCUUGUGGUGCCCCUACACAUGUUAUUUGGAAGGAUGAUGUUGCUAUCAAGAAUUAUGGUGGAUUGCAUGAUAACAAUGAGGAGGAUUUACAAAUCCUUAAGGAAUACAAGAUGGUGUGAGGUUAUUGAAAAAGAGGAGGAGAUCCAAAAUGGUGAUCCAUUUUUGAGCUUGCACAAGAGCUUUCUUCUAUCGCAAUAUGCUAAGAACUCACCUUUUAUUGAGGACACUGUCAUGGUUUCCCCCUAUCCUUCUUCUAGUGUUGGGAAAGAUUUAGGUUAGUCUAAAAUUAUUCCUAAAUGUAAUUGUGUUAAUGUUGCCUCCAAUCUUUUGUUCCUACUUCCUCUAAAGUUUCUAAGGAUAAUUUUGGGGAGGUAGCUUGCAUGCUACAAAAUGAUGAAGGUUUAGAUUGUGGUGGGAAGGAUGUGUGUUUGGCUGGUCUUGGACCUACUAUUUCUCCACUCUAUGAGGUAUUCGAAGAGCCUCUUGAUGUUGUUCCUCCUCCCAUGGUUUUUGCUUCCAAACCUCUAGUAAUUGUCCUUGCUCCCACAUCUAAUGUUUCAGAGGUUCUUUUAGAGAGGAAGAAAGUUAUUGAUAUUUCUGAUUCCCUUCUUGAUGAGUCUAUGGUUUGACUUAAGUGGUUGCUUGUUGGGAGAUUCUAUGGUAAUCAUCACAAUAUUGAAAGUGUGAGAAAAUGGUUUCUUUUGAUUUUUCUCAGAUUCUUUAAGAUGGUCCCUAGUUUUUGGGAAUGCAUAGGCUUUGUCUUACUAAGUGAUCUUGUGGUUUUAAUCUAAAUAAUGACUUUAGGUUUCUUUUUUGGGUUCACUU